CACACACCAAAUUCUUAAUACCUAUGCAAAUUCACAUAUAUAUAUAGAUUUUCAAAUUAAACUUUCUAAGAUCUCAGUACUAAUAUGUAGUACAUGUAAUUAAAAGACAUCCCAUAUAAAACCCCAAAUUUCAAUCUUAAAAAAGAUUGAAAAAAAAUUCUCCACAACAUACACCAUAACCUUUGUCUGACUGGAUUUUGCACAUUAAUAUUAAACCAUAUGGUUUUUUGCCUUUGAAAAGGAAAGAUUCCCUCUUGGUGUGAAGCUGGCUAUUAAUUAUAUUCAAAUACUUCUGAAGUUUCUUAGUGACAAUAAACAAUUCUCUAGUAUAGGUAUUGUGCAGAAUCGAAUUUUGCUAACAUUUUACCUUUGAUUGAUAUACAAUUAUCACCAUAAAAUCACACUAUAUCAUGGUACAUUUUCAGACUAACUAGCAAUUUUCCAAAGUUACAUAUAUGUCUUUAUUAUUAAAUCUUAGAGAAUAGCCAAUUUAUGAGAUAAAAUUUCCCUUUGUGUGUUCCAAAUCAAUCCCUUUUUCUUUUCUUGGGGGGCCCUUCCCAAAAGAAGAAAAAGUAAGAUUUAUGGAACACUUUGUCAAUUUUAAAGGUCAAAAUUAAUUACCUCCUUUUGGGAGGACUGAUCAUAAAUUGUGAAUGCCCAAUUAGGAAGACACAGACAGGACUUAUUAACAUGGACACACAUAGAGAUGCACAAAACAGAUAUUAAACACAGACUAAGGGAAGCAUGAUUUUAGAAUUAAGGUGUUUACUCAAGAUCUUGAGGAAGAAAAGGGGGAGAAGGAAUGAAUAAUCUAACUUGCUCUUUCCAAGAUACUGUCUCUUAGAUGUGAGAAGAGAAGAAAAGUUUUGGCUCACAAACCUUGAGUGUAAGCAUUUGAAAACUUGGGUGACAAGGAAUUGAAAGAGGGGAACCUCCCUGCUAGAACCAAGGAUCCCAGAGUCAUGAAGGUGAAAAAGGAGGACCUCCUACCUCUGUCCAUCCUCUCCUUCCUUUCCCAAGUGGAAGAAAAUUCCUCAGAGAAGGAUCUGUCAGCUUUUUGGAGGAUGGAGUUGAGAGAGGAGUGACUUGAAGCAUGGAAUCCAAUUAAGAGAUUAUCACAAGAAUCUAGAAUUUCCAUCCAAAACUUUGCCUUCAUGAUUCUCUAUGGAACUGCAGCUAAACCCAGAAGUCUAGUUCUUCUUUGAUCCAAAUGAGAAUCAUCGGAGAUUAGACACUCUUAUAUGGUGAUAUAUGAACUUAAUGAAUAACUAUUAAUGGAUUGACUGAUGUAAAAUGUAAGUUAUGUGUGUAAUAUAUAUUAUAUAUGUAUAAUUACAUUAAAUAUAACAUAGAUAUUGAUAUAUGUUAUGAAUGUGUAAUAGACAUAUAUGUAUUCACAGAGUCAUCUUAACAAAGUUAAAGGUAGAGACCUUGAGCUGACUCAGAAGAUGUCCUUGUGGAAGGU
rnacentral:lncRNA from 1 species